rnacentral:rRNA from 1 species
AUUGAACGCUGGCGGCAGGCCUAACACAUGCAAGUCGAGCGAGCGGCGGCCGGGUGAGUAAUGUAUGGGGACUGCCCGAUCGAGGGGGAUAACUACUGGAAACGCUAGCUAAUACCGCAUACUAUCGGAUCACCCAUAUGGGUUUAGCUAGUAGGUGAGGUAAUGGCUCACCUAGGCGCCGAUCCCUAGCUGGUCGGAGAGGAUGAUCAGCCAACCUGGGACUGCGACACGGCCCAGACUCCUACGGAGGCAGCAGUGGGGAAUAUUGCACAAUUGGCGCAAGCCUGAUGCAGCCAGGCCGCGUGUAUGAAGAAGGCCCUAGGGGUGUAAAGUACUUUCAGUCGGGAGGCGUUACCGACAGAAGAAGCACCGGCUAACGACGUGCCAGCAGCCGCGGUAAUUC